rnacentral:sRNA from 2 species
AUGUACCACGCGUACACGCCGGUUCCGCGCGCCGUCCACGCCCACCUGACGACCGCUCGCUCUGUGUUGCCUGCC